rnacentral:rRNA from 1 species
UACGAAGGGGGCGAGCGUUGUCCGGAAUUAUUGGGCGUAAAGAGCUCGUAGGCGGUUUGUCGCGUCGAAUGUGAAAACCCGGGGCUCAACCCCGGGCCUGCAUUCGAUACGGGCAGACUAGAGUUCGGUAGGGGAGUCUGGAAUUCCUGGUGUAGCGGUGAAAUGCGCAGAUAUCAGGAGGAACACCGGUGGCGAAGGCGGGACUCUGGGCCGAUACUGACGCUGAGGAGCGAAAGCGUGGGGAGCAAACAGG